GACGUAGGAUGCAAGCGUUGUCCGGAUUUAUUGGGCGUAAAGAGUUCGUAGGUGGUUCGUUAAGUCUGAUGUUAAAGAUCGGGGCCCAACCCCGGGACUGCAUUGGAUACUGGCGGACUGGAGUGUAGUAGAGGCAAGCGGAAUUCCCAGUGUAGCGGUGAAAUGCGUAGAUAUUGGGAAGAACACCAGUGGCGUAAGCGGCUUGCUGGGCUAUAACUGACGCUGAGGAACGAAAGCCAGGGGAGCGAAUGGG
rnacentral:rRNA from 1 species